rnacentral:rRNA from 1 species
CCUACGGGUGGCAGCAGUGGGGAAUAUUGGACAAUGGGCGAAAGCCUGAUCCAGCCAUGCCGCGUGUGUGAAGAAGGCCUUCGGGUUGUAAAGCACUUUCAGUGGGGAAGAAAGCCUUGGGGCUAAUACCCUCGAGGAAGGACAUCACCCACAGAAGAAGCACCGGCUAACUCCGUGCCAGCAGCCGCGGUAAUACGGAGGGUGCGAGCGUUAAUCGGAAUUACUGGGCGUAAAGCGCGCGUAGGCGGUCUGAUAAGCCGGUUGUGAAAGCCCCGGGCUCAACCUGGGAACGGCAUCCGGAACUGUCAGGCUAGAGUGCAGGAGAGGAAGGUAGAAUUCCCGGUGUAGCGGUGAAAUGCGUAGAGAUCGGGAGGAAUACCAGUGGCGAAGGCGGCCUUCUGGACUGACACUGACGCUGAGGUGCGAAAGCGUGGGUAGCAAACAGGAUUAGAUACCCGAGUAAUC